GCUGUCACAAAGCUGAAGCAAAAACAAUAGUGGUGAAUCGUCCAGCUAACCGUAAUCUGUGUUCAUUUUGUAUUUCCAAGUCCUUUUGGACUUACUGAUGUUAAAAUAAGGAACUAAGACAACAUUUACAGCAAAACAAAAUGUGAUGAGAAUUAGGGUAUUGCUGAGCAAUCACACUACCUCAAACAUGCAGAACUCCUGUUUUAUCUGUCUCUGCAACUGUACAAUGCUGAACAUUGCUCUUGUCUUCAUACACAUACACAUUUGCUGCAUGUAA
ensembl:lncRNA